rnacentral:misc_RNA from 1 species
AAGUCGUAACAAGGUUUCCGUAGGUGAACCUGCGGAAGGAUCAUUCAUGUAUCUUCUGCUUGUUGCGCCGAGUUGUGGAUUGGGGAUUAACAUUUCCAGUUUGCAGCUUGGUUCAGCAAACAAACUACACUUUGUGAACGAAACAAGCUAGAUAGCAGUUGCUCGGCCUUGGCUGGGCAGCCGCCGUCGUUUCAAAAAACCAUUUUAACAAACCAUGUAGUAAUCUUAUUGACAUGUUAUAUAUAAUCUAAUUAUAUACAACCUUUAACAAUGGAUCUCUUGGUUCCU